CUAUCUGCAGUCGAACGAGCUUCCGUUGAAUGACGUGCUUGCACUGAUUUCAACAAUGAAGCGAGUGGCGAACUGGUGAGUAACACGUGGGAAAUCUGCCCAGAAGCAGGGGAUAACACUUGGAAACAGGUGCUAAUACCGUAUAACAACAAAAUCCGCAUGGAUUUUGUUUGAAAGGUGGCUUCGGCUAUCACUUCUGGAUGAUCCCGCGGCGUAUUAGUUAGUUGGUGAGGUAAAGGCCCACCAAGACGAUGAUACGUAGCCGACCUGAGAGGGUAAUCGGCCACAUUGGGACUGAGACACGGCCCAAACUCCUACGGGAGGCAGCAGUAGGGAAUCUUCCACAAUGGACGAAAGUCUGAUGGAGCAAUGCCGCGUGAGUGAAGAAGGGUUUCGGCUCGUAAAACUCUGUUGUUAAAGAAGAACACCUUUGAGAGUAACUGUUCAAGGGUUGACGGUAUUUAACCAGAAAGCCACGGCUAACUACGUGCCAGCAGCCGCGGUAAUACGUAGGUGGCAAGCGUUGUCCGGAUUUAUUGGGCGUAAAGCGAGCGCAGGCGGUUUUUUAAGUCUGAUGUGAAAGCCUUCGGCUUAACCGGAGAAGUGCAUCGGAAACUGGGAGACUUGAGUGCAGAAGAGGACAGUGGAACUCCAUGUGUAGCGGUGGAAUGCGUAGAUAUAUGGAAGAACACCAGUGGCGAAGGCGGCUGUCUAGUCUGUAACUGACGCUGAGGCUCGAAAGCAUGGGUAGCGAACAGGAUUAGAUACCCUGGUAGUCCAUGCCGUAAACGAUGAGUGCUAAGUGUUGGAGGGUUUCCGCCCUUCAGUGCUGCAGCUAACGCAUUAAGCACUCCGCCUGGGGAGUACGACCGCAAGGUUGAAACUCAAAGGAAUUGACGGGGGCCCGCACAAGCGGUGGAGCAUGUGGUUUAAUUCGAAGCUACGCGAAGAACCUUACCAGGUCUUGACAUCUUCUGCCAAUCUUAGAGAUAAGACGUUCCCUUCGGGGACAGAAUGACAGGUG
rnacentral:rRNA from 2 species